AGCGAAUCCCCCACCGCCUGCCAUCGACAUAGCUUCCACCCGUGAGUUUCGUAAGGAUCUUGUGUAAGGCUGUUGUUACAUAGUCUUCAAUGGCUAUUACAUAUAUAUGUAGUAGCUAUCUACAGUGUUUCCAGAAGUCCGGAAAAUUGUCAGUCGCUCACGUCGCAUGUGAAGAUGUAUCCGAAAAGAAAAAGUGCAAUGGAUAGUCAAAUUAUUUCGGCAGAAAUUGCUUUAGGUCUUGUUCUGUGUACAGCAUAUCGGAUAAUUUCGAAGAACAUUUUCAGUCAACAGGAGGAGAGUCAACCUGUUGACAGUGAACAGUUUGAGCUAACAAGGUCACUAGUGUGUGUAUGGCUUGCAAGCAACAUAAAGUUCCUACUCAUUAAAUGCAACAGCAAUCCAGUUUCACUGUCUGCACAUUCAACAUCCAGGCUGAUUCGGCCUACAGUGGACAUGGCCAUGUGUUCUUUCUUCAUAGUGAGCAGUGUUGUCCUCUUCUUUUUGGACCACAGCCAGCUGCAGAGCAGAGUGGACUUGCGCAUGAUCUUCAGUGACUCUCAGAAGUUCUUCCUUCAGAUGGACUUUUUUGCCACCUUUGUCUUUGGCCUCCUCUGGCUGGCCUUCCCCGAUUGGCUCCUAGGAUUCCAGCCCAUUACAGGUUCUGAGGACACCUUCCAUCUUCACCUCAGUAGAGCCUUUGGCGCCAUGAUGGUGGGUGACAGUUUUGUCUCUUUUACAACACAGAAUUUCCAACCCAACAAAGAAAAGCCAUCCGUGUUCAUAAGCCGAGCAGUGGUAUGUGAUAUUUCAGCAAUCUCUUUUUUUUAUUUUAUUUUAAUUAAUUUUUUUACAAUAGAGAGUUCUGGGCCUGUUUGGCCCUGUCCGGGGGUGUCCUCGGAUGGGUCCACAGUGUCUCCUGACCCCUCCUGUCUCAGCCUCCAGUAUUUAUGCUGCAGUAGUUUAUGUGUCGGGGGGCUAGGGUCAGUUUGUUAUAUCUGGAGUACUUCUCCUGUCCUAUUCGGUGUCCUGUGUGAGUCUACGUGUGCGUUCUCUAAUUCUCUCCUUCUCUCUCUCGGAGGACCUGAGCCCUAGGACCAUGCCCCAGGACUACCUGACAUGAUGACUCCUUGCUGUCCCCAGUCCAUCUGAACGUGCUGCUGCUCCAGUUUCAACUGUUCUGCCUUAUUAUUAUUCGAACAUGCUGAUCAUUUAUGAACAUUUGAACAUCUUGGCCAUGUUCUGUUAUAAUCUCCACCCGGCACAGCCAGAAGAGGACUGGCCACCCCACAUAGCCUGGUUCCUCUCUAGGUUUCUUCCUAGGUUUUGGCCUUUCUAGGGAGUUUUUCCUAGCCACCGUGCUUCUACACCUGCAUUGCUUGCUGUUUGGGGUUUUAGGCUGGGUUUCUGUACAGCACUUUGAGAUAUCAGCUGAUGUACGAAGGGCUAUAUAAAUACAUUUGAUUUGAUUUGAUUUGAUUUCUGAUGCUUCCAUAUAAAUACAUAGAAUCAAUUGAGAAUAACACCCCAUCAUACACACCCCUCCCCACCCACAAAAUAAGUUAAUGUCAGGCAAAGCUAUGACUAGGUGGCAGUUUCACACAAUGAAGGCCUACAUGCCAUGCUCCUCCCUAUUCUGACUUGAGACCUGCAUGCUUAACUGGAAUUAUCAUGCAAGUCUGCCAUUGAUGUCACUGAAUAAUUUAUGUGAAAGGUGACUGCAGUGUUUUCUCUUGGUUUUUCAGGGCAGCUUGGUGCUGCUGGUGUUCCUGGUCCACUCUCAGCUGACCACCUCUGCCUGGGCCCCUGCCCAGAUCUGGUUUGGCCUGGUGGGAGCCAGCCUCUGGACAGGAAACUCCAUCUUAGGUUACCUCAGCUCUAAACAACAAAAUAUGUAAGAAGUCCAUUCACAUAGACACUGAACACAACAGUCACAACAUAACAGGCAGAAGUUACAUUGAACCCUCUUCUGUGUCCCACAAGACUGUUAGCCGCUUAAGUGAAGUUGAUCACGUGAGCAUGGUUAAUCAAACCACAGCUGUUGCACAGAAAGCAGAGGCAGAUUCUCUGGGAACCUGGAGUGACUUAGAAUGAGUGAUUAUUUAUUGUUAAACAAUUUCCAUCCUAUGUUGUUCAGUCUUAUGAUUUUCAUACUUCACCAUGAAUGAGAUGGUGAUGGUCAUUGCUGACAGAGGUGGAAAGAGACUCUUUGGAAAUCUAAAUGUCUAAAUAUACUGUACUGUACAUUUGUAAAUGUGUAACUCCUCUGAGAGGAGGUUAGAAGCCAUCGGAGAUUGUAAAAGACACUUGACCCCACCAUUCCACUGUACAGAAGUGAAUAGUAAGUAUGCAGGCUCAGCCUUAGAAACAUAAUUAUGAAAUAACUUUUUAGUAACUAUUGAUGGGAAGCGUGGAGGUGUUGUAGCUGCACCCAUAUGACUAAAUAGAUGUAACUGACGUUGAAAUUCUGUCAAGGAAUAAAAGUGAAGGGAAAUGUUACUCAGAAACAUUGUGAUAUUCUAAUCUAGUGCUUCCUUUUUAUUUAUCCUGCUCCAAGGCUUGAACUCUCUGUAACCACUAGAUGGUGCUAUGCACAUGGCCAUGGAGUGCCUCUGAAUGGAUUUGAAUCAUAGGGAAUCUAGCUUUUAAUAGCCCAUCGUUCCUAUCAUUAUAUUUCCAUGACAUAGUCU
ensembl:lncRNA